CCACGGGGGAGUUUCUGCGGUUGUGGAUAGGAGACGGAGUGAGUUCUGUUUCUUUGUCGGGCCCUGACGCUGCUGAGGCUGAGAAGCGGCUGCUGUGAGACCUUUCGCGGUAAGGACCAGCCCAAACAGCGGGUGCUUCAGUUCUUCAGGCUCUCCUCGGCUGAGCGAGGGCUGCAGCAGAGGCUCUCAUCGGCCCGAAGCAGUGAGCUCGUGGAAGCGGAAAGACAGACCGGCCAGGCGGUGGAGUCUCUCUUCGAGGGAGAGAACGGGAACGUAUCGAGCUCCACCUAGGGGUGAAUGAAGAACCAGCGGAGCGUUUGUGCGUGAGGCUGAAGAGGCAGGUGUCAUUGCCAUGUGACUGGAGGAGAAGGUAUUUGCAAGGAGCAGUCCAGGUGGAUGGACAGAGGAGAAGUCAUGCCGGACCAAAAGGUAGCUUUGUGCGUUGUCUUGAUUGUGCAGUUAGAGGAGAGGAGGGUGGCAGAUAGCAAUGCCUGCUGUGCAGGAGCCCAGUUGAUGGGGAUGAGUGGCGUGUGUGUGGCAGUAGGGGGGCAGUGUGCAUGUUUGGUAUCACCAGAAUUUCUCAUUCAAGAGGAAGAAGAAUGAUUUCCCUGUGAGCGGGAUGGGAGAGGAGUGCCUGGGGAGGUUGUGGAGUCCGGUUCCCCGGGCCCCGUUCCAGUUGCGUGUGGGUGCUUUGCAGUGGGGCCUUGGCAUUCUGUCUGGCUGUGUGAUCUGUGCUCUUGUUGCAGGGUGAAGGCUGCAGAGAGGAUUGGCUGGAGCAGGUGUGCAGUUUUCCCAGUGGUGGGAUGAAGGAGGUUCAGGCUGGAGGCAGGAUCCUGGCGGUGUGAGUGGGGCGCCCCUGUGGAGCAAGGGUGGAAGGUGCGUGGCAGGUCCUGUCCCGGAGGAGUGGAGUUAAGGGUCCUGGCGUGGCUGUUUUCCUGCAUGGAAGAUGGAGAUCCUGGGAGCUGUGAUGAGGAGGAGCAGAGCCAGCAGGUAGGCCUGGGGUGUUGUGCUGUCUUGGCUCUGUUUGUGUUUGCUUAGGUGGCUGGCUGGCUUUGGUGUGUAAGAGGUUUGUGUUGGUGAUGUGGCAGGCUUGUUUGCUGGUGGUCUUGUGGUGGGGCUUGUCUUUUUUUUUUGGUUAGGAGGCUGGUGGUAGAAAGUGGCUUGGGUGGUUUCGGUGUGGUAGGUGGAGUUGGCUUUGUGGUGUGCUGGUUGUUGGGUUUGGUGGUGGUUUUUCUUGGGAGCUGUCUGGCUUUAUUUGGUUGUUGGCAGUACAGUGGCAGGCUGGUGUGGCGGUCUCUUUUGUCUUCUGGUGGCCUUUGGUGUGUGUGUUUUUUGUUUUGAGGCUGGUGGAGGGAAUGUCUUGUGGCUGGUUGUGUUGGGUAGUAGUGUGGUGUUUGUUUUGGAGCUGUGUGGUGAACAGCCAAGAGCAGAGCCUGCCCUGGGGGUGGGCUGUGCUCUUGGCUGGUGGUGGGGGGCUGUGCAGUGGGGAUUGCACUAUCUCAAAGAGAUUAUUUUUUUUUGGGUGGGAGGUGGGGAUGGUCAGUCUCGGAAGUGCAGG
ensembl:lncRNA